GAGCGGAGACGACACUAACAAUCCUUCGGGUGCGUUAAUGGGCGUCGAGCGGCGGACGGGUGAGUAAUGCCUAGGAAAUUGCCUUGAUGUGGGGGAUAACCAUUGGAAACGAUGGCUAAUACCGCAUAAUGCCUACGGGCCAAAGAGGGGGACCUUCGGACCUCUCGCGUCAAGAUAUGCCUAGGUGGGAUUAGCUAGUUGGUGAGGUAAUGGCUCACCAAGGCGACGAUCCCUAGCUGGUCUGAGAGGAUGAUCAGCCACACUGGAACUGAGACACGGUCCAGACUCCUACGGGAGGCAGCAGUGGGGAAUAUUGCACAAUGGGCGAAAGCCUGAUGCAGCCAUGCCGCGUGUAUGAAGAAGGCCUUCGGGUUGUAAAGUACUUUCAGUUGUGAGGAAGGGUGUGUAGUUAAUAGCUGCGCAUCUUGACGUUAGCAACAGAAGAAGCACCGGCUAACUCCGUGCCAGCAGCCGCGGUAAUACGGAGGGUGCGAGCGUUAAUCGGAAUUACUGGGCGUAAAGCGCAUGCAGGUGGUUCAUUAAGUCAGAUGUGAAAGCCCGGGGCUCAACCUCGGAACUGCAUUUGAAACUGGUGAACUAGAGUGCUGUAGAGGGGGGUAGAAUUUCA
rnacentral:rRNA from 1 species